AUUGAACGCGGGCGGCAUGCCUUACACAUGCAAGUCGAACGGCAGCACGGGUGCUUGCACCUGGUGGCGAGUGGCGAACGGGUGAGUAAUAUAUCGGAACGUACCUUAUUGUGGGGGAUAACGCAGCGAAAGCUGUGCUAAUACCGCAUAAUCCCUUAGGGGGAAAGCGGGGGACCGUAAGGCCUCGCGCAAUUAGAGCGGCCGAUACCUGAUUAGCUAGUUGGUGAGGUAAAGGCUCACCAAGGCGACGAUCAGUAGCUGGUCUGAGAGGAGGAUCAGCACCACUGGGACGAGGACACGGCCCAGACUCCUACGGGGGGCAGCGGGGGGGAAUUUUGAAAAGGGGGGGAAACCCGGAUCCAGAAAUGCCGCGUGAGGGAGGAGGGCCUUCGGGUUGAAAGGCUCUUUGUCAGGGAAGAAACAGCAGCUCUAACACAGUAUGCGAAUGACGGUACCUGAAGAAUAAGCACCGGCUAACUACGUGCCAGCAGCCGCCGUAA
rnacentral:rRNA from 1 species